ACGAUUUUAUCCAUCGAAUGGCCAUCGUUUAACCUCCAUUCUGCUAACCCUCCGCGCUCAACAAUUCAGUUAAUAACUAAUUGGAAAAUCUCAGUGGAUUGGUGGGGCCGAGGGUACGGGUACAGAGGGCAGUGUGGAAAAGCUGGAAAAGCGCUGCGUGCGUUGACGUUCGCUUCGCUCAAUUUGUUUGACGAUUUUAUGGACGUUUUUAGUUUCAUUUGCUGCCACCGCAGAAACAAAAAGCUAUGUGGAAGGGCGCACUGCUUUCAGGGCCGAACCUUUAGAUACCCUGGCAGAGGGUAAGCACACGGCCCCAAUAUCGCGCAGAACACAGACUUUAUUCUGUGAAAAUAAGCCAGAUGCUCGUAGAUAGCCGGCAGGACAGCCAGAUGGACAUGGCUCUGCUGUUGGCUCUGCUUUUAAUGGGGAAAUGAAUAUCAAAAGUAAUAAAACAGUGAUGGAAAUAUCCAAUGGAUGCGAAGAAUGUUUUGCAAAAUGCAAAA